UAGUAACUGCGAGUGAAGCGGGAAAAGCUCAAAUUUAAAAUCUGGUGGUCUUUGGCCAUCCGAGUUGUAAUUUAGAGAAGCGUCUUCCGCGUCGGGCCGUGCACAAGUCUCCUGGAAUGGAGCUCAUAGAGGGUGAGAAUCCCGUCUCUGGCACGGACCCCCGGUGCUUUUGUGAUGCGCUCUCAAAGAGUCGAGUUGUUUGGGAAUGCAGCUCAAAAUGGGUGGUGAACUCCAUCUAAAGCUAAAUAUUGGCGAGAGACCGAUAGCGAACAAGUACCGUGAGGGAAAGAUGAAAAGCACUUUGGAAAGAGAGUGAAACAGUACGUGAAAUUGUUGAAAGGGAAACGCUUCAAGUCAGUCGCGUCGACCGAGACUCAGCCUCGCCUCGGCUUGGCGUACUUCUCGGCUGACGGGCCAGCAUCAUUUCGUCCCUCGGAUAAUGGCAAGGGAAAGGUGGCACCCUUACGGGUGUGUUAUAGUCUCCUGUCGCAUGCGAGGGGUGGGAUUGAGGACCUCAGCACGCGCCUCUCUGGCGUCGGGGCUUCGGCCCACGCUUACGUGCUUAGGAUGUUGGCGUAAUGGCUUUAAACGACCCGUCUUGAAA
rnacentral:rRNA from 1 species